GUCGUGGGGGCAGAUUUUAGAACAAUAGAGCUCAUGGUCAACUGAAACAAGGGAAAGUAAUUGACAAUUAGGAUUGUAAUUAUGUCUUCCAGGAAAUGAAAAACUUCAGGGACACACAGUCUACAAAGUGGAAGAAAAAUUAGAGUCCCAUUGCUGGUAUCCUCAGUGAAAGAAAAUGGUAAGAGGCAUCAUUACCUGGAACUGGAUUUCUAAUACUUGUAUUGAAGACUGUGAUGUCAUGCUGUUUUGAGAGGUCUCAGAAAGAAGUUGUAGUUAAUAUGCUUUAAUGAGCAUACCCACAAUACUGUCUAGAAGCACUGAAGUUGCCAAAAUAAUUUCAUGAACAGCCCAGCCUUUAAAUUCUAUCUAGCAACCGUCAGUAUUGCAAUGCCAGAUCAUCCAGUAACACAUGUGUGACCCUGUGGAACGCUGUCUUUUUUAAAAGCUUGCACUGUUUCCCACUACCCAAUCCUUUUCUCCAUCUGCUUGCUGACCCAUGUGGCUGUUUUAACAUCCGCCUCCUGGAGGCCUCCCACCUGCCUGGCCAGCAGAAAGUUACACAAUGACAGCAGUUUCUCAGGGACUGAAGAGGAAACCUCGGAUGCCCUGUCUUUUCUUUCUGGACAGCUAAAAUUAAGAUAGGAAAAGUCAUGCCCUGGAAUUUUCAAUCAGUGUGCAUCAGUUUAGAGAGUGGAUAAAUAAAUGGGCAAUCUAUUUCAGGGAAGUUUCCCUUCUGGAAGAAGGGGCAAUUUGUUUUAGGGUCAUAUGCUGGGCAACUAUCUGCAUAAGAAACCCAAAGAAGAGAUUCACCAGAGGACCUUGUGACGACUUUCUCAGGAAGGUUAGUCUGCAAUGAAUCUGAGCCUGUCAACACACUCAUCAAGAUUGUGUUCACCCCAGUAGUCAUGACAGUGUGUUGGGGUGGUAAUUGCUUCCUUUGAGAAUAUUCAAGCUUAUGUAGUUUAAUUUUCAUCUGGAUUUCUUCCACAUUUCCCAACAUGACAUUUAACAGUGAAAUUUCUUCAAAUGAUCAUCUAGAUACCAGAGAGAACAAAAUGUCUGUUUACCGAAUUAUCUCCCAAAGCAAAAUAAAAAUUUUAAAGUAGCAGCAGCUUUUGGGUUGUUCCCUAUGCCACCCAAAUGACUUUAUACAUUUCAUAUUAAAUGGAAAUAAUUAAUCACUGAAAAAAAGAAGAUCAUCUUUUGAUAAUCAAAUUGGACUUAGGAAGUGCUAAUUAAUGAAUACAUAAAAUCUUUAAGAAGCUCAUCUGUGGGAUAGCACCGGUAAAAUUAAAAUGCAUUGAUUAUCUUUGAAAAUAUUUAAAUAAGUGCGAUGUAACUUAAUUGAUGACUGUGGACCUUGUUAAAUAAAAUGAAAGCUACUGUCUAUUUCCCUGAA